rnacentral:lncRNA from 1 species
UAUCGCAAUUCCGGCAAGGCGGCGAUUCGCCUCGGGUUGGCCGUUUUCGGCCGUUUCCAGCUGAAUUCGGCCACACUUGCAUCGGGCGGCGGCGAUUCACCUCGAGUUGGCCGUUUUCGGCUGUUUCUGGCCGAAUUCGGCCACACUUGCAUCGGUACCUGCGAUAAAACAACCCUAGGGCCCUCGGGGGGCUAAAAAAUUACGAAAAACCGAAGCUUACCGGCGGCGGUGCUAUCGGGUGCGGCGGCUCUCCGGCGAGGUUCGUGUUUUGGUGAUUUGGGUCCGAUCAACCUGUAGAGAAAAGAAUGGUGAUCACGGUGAUAUAAAAAUUGUAUCAAACGGAGGCCGGGAAGGGCCUCAUCGGAGGCAAAAACUGAGGAGGGGCGCGGCAGCGCCGCUGGGUU